GUAGCUGUAACUCAGUGGCUGAGUGCUAGCUUCACAUGUGUGAGAUGCUGGGUUCGAUCCUCAGCACCACA
rnacentral:tRNA from 1 species